UAGGUCUUCGCGAUCGUGAGCUCUGUUGUUACGGAAGAACAAAUGUGUAAUUAACUGGGCACAUCUUGACGGUACCUAACCAGAAAGCCACGGCUAACUACGUGCCAGCAGCCGCGGUAAUACGUAGGUGGCAAGCGUUAUCCGGAAUUAUUGGGCGUAAAGCGCGCGUAGGCGGUUUUUUAAGUCUGAUGUGAAAGCCCACGGCUCAACCGUGGAGGGUCAUUGGAAACUGGAAAACUUGAGUGCAGAAGAGGAAAGUGGAAUUCCAUGUGUAGCGGUGAAAUGCGCAGAGAUAUGGAGGAACCCCAGUGGCUGCAGACGA
rnacentral:rRNA from 1 species